CAUUAACACGAUCAAUUUGGGUAUUGUAAAUCCUCAUAAAAAACUUCGAAAAAGUAAAAAAAUUACGCCAAGUACAUGAAAAAGUCGAGAACGAAAAGGAGUAUUAUCAAAUAAAAAAGAUGUGAAAUCGAAAUGAGCUACAAGUACAUAAAGAUACGAGCUUUGUGAGCGCUCACAGAGCGAGUGAAUGCUCACAAAGUGUCGGCUGCGCUCAUAAAGCGCUUAGUAAGCGGCGGCCUUUUGAAUCCACCCAAUGAGAGGGCGUCUUCUACCCCUACUCAGCGCCGUUCACUUCGUUAUCCCCACCCGAGCGGCUUAGAGCGAGAGCAGUAGUCAGUCGUCUCGUGGAAGUAAAAGUGACAAGAUGUGUUAGCCGCUGCGUCAUUAACUAGUCAUUAAGUUAAAAUACCAUUGGAGAACAACUGAGAAAAUUCUCAACCAUUAUCAUUGACUUUCCCUACUCACUGCUUCUUCACUCGAGAGAGGUCAUCGUACGUUCUAUGGAAUCAAAAGUAACAACAAGUGUCAAGCGGAGCGUCAUUAACAAGGGUGAGAGUUAUGCCCAUCGAUGGGGCGACACGGUUCGCUCGAGGCGCCAAAUGCGCAGGAAACGGACGCACAUGCGCGCUAACAACGGAGAACACGCGCUCGAGGACUCGCUACGCUGUGGACUUCCCCUCGUGCGCGACGAUAGCCGAGGACUCAGAGAUGGGUGAGAUUCUGAACGCUAUAAAUAAUUCCUAAUCGCCAAUUUCUAAUUGCUAUCAAUAUUUAAAAGGAUGCACGAAAGAUUUAGAAUUUUCUGAUGCCUCCUGACCGUAUUAAAUUAUACCACGUUAAAAGAAUAUAGGCAUAUCUGAAUAUAUUUAUUUUAUUGUGCCUUUAUUCAUCUAUCAUUCGAAUAAAAUUUUGCCCAUCUAUGGUGCCCUUUUAUUGAAAAGAUGGAUGAUCCUUUUCAUCAACCAGAGCGUUAUAAUUUCUCGUGUAGUCGAUGGAAAGUCGAUAGCAUCAGCGAGUUAAUACCCGUCGAGCAAAAAGAUACUUUCUCCACGUACAGUGGCUUGAUCGCGGGGGGGAUUCCAACUACUUUCGCAUCGGUGACGAUGUCAAUUGCUUUUGGUCCUUCUUGUACCUUUCGUAAUUGAUUUAAUUUCUCCGCUCGAUUCUACUCGAUCCUCUUUAUCCGAGGGUUCGGAGGCUCCUGCGCUCGGAACGUGCUAAAUGAAACGGUGCUAGAGAGACGUGCAGCCGUAUGUACAACACACGUAUCGUGAAAAUAAAGUGAACCCUUGGACCAGUGUUUCUUCAACUACCUAGCGAGGACCUGAUCAAAUUAUUUUAUUAACGCACAAUUGAAAAAUAUUUCUGAGAAUAUGUAAUAUAUAAGAAUAUUUCGAAUUCUUGUUACGGAAUUACACAAUUUGUUUUGCUUGGCUUUUGAACGAUAACAAAAAUUUAUCUUCUGUUACCUUUGAUCCUUUAGAGGUCCUUGGACCAGAGUUUGAGAAACACCACCUUCGACUGUACGCGAUCUAGCGGUGCCAUCGAGUGCUUUAGACACAUUUAAUCCUUUCGAUACAGAAUUUUUGUUUACGUUGUCACGUAAUAUACAUUACAAACGAAGUGUUACAACGUAAUUCGUUUUAGAAUAAUCAGAUUUCAUUGUUUAGUAUUAUAGUUCUGUUGAAAAUUUCGAAACAAGUGUUCAUGUUUAGACUCCCAUCACAGAUUUUUCGAACAGUAACGAAUUCGUCCUUGUACGUGAUCGAAAGGGUUAGAUGGCUCCAUUGAAUUUGCUUUUCGCUGAGGUUGAAUCCCGAUGCAAUCGAAGGCUUCUCGUCCACUCGAAGGGCGUAAUAAAAAUUGACGCGGAGGGGUUGUGUGCACUUUUCUACUUUAAUCUUAUUAGGCCGAGGACGGUCCUCGAGACUCGCCCCGUCGAGUUCUUAAUCCGGCCAGAGACGGUCGUGACUGACUAGAGAGAACCGUUCCACGCGUGACAACUUCCGUCCAGCCCGUAGGAACUCGGAACAGAAUUCAAAGAACCGCUCGGGGCUCGCAAAACAAUCGUUUGAAUUCGUCGCGACACGAAGUAACGCAAAACUCGAGGGGGUGGGCGGAUGAUAAGCGGAACAGAACCUUCCUUCUUCUCGUUUUCAUUUUCCUUCGCUGUGAGAACUUGGUGUUUCGAUGUGGUCGAUCCUUCGAUCGCGAAGGUCGCGGACAGGAAGUUGUCGCAGAACGGAAAUACGUCGCGAUGCGACCGACAGAGAUCUCCGAAAACACCGCCGUUUUACCUUUCGUUAAUA